UGCCUGCUAUCAGUGUGUUCCACUAAACCUCAUCCUUGGCACGGUAGAAUUGAAGAUGUGAUCCCAGGAUGGAAUUCCUUCCGGUUUCCAGAUCCAGAAGGCAUUUAUCUCAAAAUCAACAACAAAGUCCUGGGGCUGGGAAUGAGACUUGAUUGAAGCACUCUGGACCUCCGAGCUAACAGUUCUCUUCUUUUUCACGAGCUAAAGUUCCUAUGUAACAGAUACUCAAAAGAAAUCCCUGAUGCUUACAAGCGA